GAAACCAACAGGGAUUGCCCCAGUAACGGCGAGUGAAGCGGCAAGAGCUCAAAUUUGAAAUCUGGCUCCUUCGGGGCCCGAGUUGUAAUUUGCAGAGGAUGCUUCGGGCGUGGCCCCGGUCUAAGUCCCCUGGAACGGGGCGUCAUAGAGGGUGAUAAUCCCGUGUGUGACUGGGCGCCUACGCCCGUGUGAAGCUCCUUCGACGAGUCGGGUUGUUUGGGAAUGCAGCUCUAAAUGGGUGGUAAAUUUCAUCUAAAGCUAAAUACCGGCCAGAGACCGAUAGCGCACAAGUAGAGUGAUCGAAAGAUGAAAAGCACUUUGGAAAGAGAGUUAAACAGUACGUGAAAUUGUUGAAAGGGAAGCGCUUGCAAUCAGACUUGCGCCCGGGCGAUCAUCCGCGGUUCUCCGCGGUGCACUCGCUCGGGCUCAGGCCAGCAUCGGUUCCCGUGGCGGGAUAAAGGCCCUGGGAACGUGGCCCCUCUCGGGGGGUGUUAUAGCCCAGGGCGCCAUGCCGCCCACGGGGACCGAGGACCGCGCUUCGGCUAGGAUGCUGGCGUAAUGGUUGUAAGCGACCCGUCUUGAAACACGGACCAAGGAGUCUAACAUCUAUGCGAGUGUUUGGGUGUCAAACCCAUGCGCGUAAUGAAAGUGAACGGAGGUGAGAACCCGCACGGGCGCAUCAUCGACCGAUCCUGAUGUCUUCGGAUGGAUUUGAGUAAGAGCAUAGCUGUUGGGACCCGAAAGAUGGUGAACUAUGCGUGAAUAGGGUGAAGCCAGAGGAAACUCUGGUGGAGGCUCGCAGCGGUUCUGACGUGCAAAUCGAUCGUCAA
rnacentral:rRNA from 2 species